AACGUAGGAGGCAAGCGUUAUCCGGAUUCACUGGGCGUAAAGCGCGUGCAGGCGGUUCGGUAAGUUGGGCGUGAAAUCUCCUGGCUCAACUAGGAGAGGUCGUUCAAUACUACCGGGCUAGAGAGUGGUAGAGGAAGAUGGAAUUCCCGGUGUAGUGGUGAAAUGCGUAGAUAUCGGGAGGAACACCAGUGGCGAAGGCGAUCUUCUGGACCAUUUCUGACGCUCAGACGCGACAGCUAGGGUAGCAAACGGG
rnacentral:rRNA from 1 species